AGCUUUGCGCAGUGGCAGUAUCGUAGCCAAUGAGGUUUAUCCGAAGCACAAUUAUUGCUAAUUGAAAACUAUAAUCUUCUUGGGCAAAUUAAUUUCAGUUGUAAAAUUCUCAUUGGGAAUUUGGAGGUUUACCCAAU